GACGAACGCUGGCGGCGUGCUUAACACAUGCAAGUCGAACGGAAAGGCCCUGCUUUUGUGGGGUGCUCGAGUGGCGAACGGGUGAGUAACACGUGAGUAACAUGCCCUUGACUUUGGGAUAACUUCAGGAAACUGGGGCUAAUACCGGAUAGGAGCUCCUGCUGCAUGGUGGGGGUUGGAAAGUUUCGGCGGUUGGGGAUGGACUCGCGGCUUAUCAGCUUGUUGGUGGGGUAGUGGCUUACCAAGGCUUUGACGGGUAGCCGGCCUGAGAGGGUGACCGGCCACCUUGGGCCUGCGAGACGGCCCAGACUCCUACGGUAGGCAGCAGUCGGGAAUAUUGCACAGUGGGCGGAAGCCUGAUGCAACGGCGCCGCGUGCGGGAUGACGGCCUUCGGGUUGUAAACCGCUUUCGCCUGUGACGAAGCGUGAGUGACGGUAAUGGGUAAAGAAGCACCGGCUAACUACGUG
rnacentral:rRNA from 1 species